CUUCGUCAACCGUUAUGGGUUGAAAUGCCUUCUUUUCAAGCUCCACCUUCUUUUAGUCAAGCACCACCAACUGCUUCACUUUUUUCUAGCCAAACACCACCAAUGACUCCACCUUCUCCUAACCAAGCACUAUCGACGGCUCCACCUUCUUCUAGCCAAGAACCACCAUUCCCUCCAGCUCCCUUUACUAUAGAAGAGUGGGAUGAUAAACUUGGUGUGAAGUUGGAUACAUCUAAGAAGCGAUCAACAGUUUGAGCUCAUUGGAUUGUAUUCAAAGAUCCUAAAGGAGUUGAAAGGGCAAGGUGCAUAUGGUGUACUGCCAUUUUGAAAGUCGAUACAAACAAAAUGGUAGUUUCUUCUCUAAAAAGCCAUACAUAUGAAAAUUGUAAUAAGAGACCGAUAUUAUGGAAGGGCAAAUAAGAUUGAACUUUCAUCCAGGAUCUGGGUUACAAAUCAAUACUUGAACGUUUAACCUAGUAAGAUUGAGAGAAAAAAUAGCUAUAAUGAUCAUUUUGAAUGAGUUGCCAUUCAGAUUUGUGGAGAAGGAAGGAUUCAAAGGUGUGAUGAAAGAAGCAUUUUCAUUGUUUAAGAUGUUAGGGUUGAUUGCUUGAAGGUGAACAAUGAUACAGAUUUGUGUAGAAAGACUGUUAGGGUUGAUUGCUUGAAGUUGUUUGUGGAUGGGAUGGUGAAUCUAAGAUAAUUCUUCAAGUUGAAUUGUGUUGGGAGGGUUUUU
rnacentral:lncRNA from 1 species